CUGGAAACCUGGAGCAAACACGUGCGAUUCGCUUUGCACACUGUUUUCUUUCGUUCCAAGCUUGCUGGAUUACAAAAGGUUUUUCGUAGAUAUUCUGGAAAAAACUUGUUGAAACUCAAGCGUGGAGAGAGACGAUGGGUGUGCAAGUAUGGAAAAACCUCAAGGAACAGAUAAUGCAUGUGCAAUUUCAAACCUUUGUAACGAUACCUUUUCCAAAAAAGCCUCAAGUCAAAAUCAAGGGAGAAAUCAUUCGAUACAUCCAUAAUGUAUCCCCAGUACAUAAAAAUGAAAAGUACUUUGUCUUAAUAUUCAACAAAAGGAUAAGAUAGUCAAAGGGGUUUGCUUUUUACCACCUAAAAUGAAGCGCUUCUUGGAAUUUGAUACAAAUCGAUCUCCAGUCAUCCUGAAGAAGUGCCGCAAGGACACAAAGUCAAAUACGGAGGAUUAUCUCAUGAGAGAAGAUGUAAUGAUAGAUCACUUUCCUGAGAUAGACUUCCAAAGGUCAGAAAUGCCUAAAACAAUCAACAUUUCUGCCCUCAACACAUUGUGCGCUGGACAAAUGGUCACACUCAAAGCCAAAGUUAGAUACCUUUAUCCACCAAAGGAAAUUGGCUCGGAAGGCAAACAACUGCAAAAUGCCCGUUUGGUAGACCCAUCAGGAAUGGUGAAACUCACCUUGUGGAAGCCGUUUCUGAAUACUUUGAAAGAAGCAACACUUAUGACUUUUGCAACCUGAAGUUAUACAAAAACAAGUACAGCUCAAAUGAACUAGCACUAUCCACGGUUUCCAAAACCAAUAUCAAAGGAGUAGAGGCGUUUGAGGGAGCUUUGCCUGUGACUCAACAGCCCAAAGACAUAACUACUGGGGAGAUGGCAGCCUACCUAUAUUGCAUAAGUUGCAACAAGAAAAUAGAGGGCAAUCAAGGGAUUAUUUAGUUUCCAAAUUGCCAUACCAGACAAAAGCAAACUAGAUGCCCUAAUCACUGGUAUUCACAAGUUUUUUUCCAAAUCAGUGGUCCCAUCAAGAAAAAGAACACCCUAACGAUGUUUGAAGACACUCUAAAGCAAGCAGUAGCAGUUUCAGGAGAAAACGAAAACCACGAACGGAACCAGACGGUCCUAGCAAGAGAAACAUUCUACUAAACUUGCCUGAAGUUUCCAUAACAUACAACUUGCAGAGCAACGUUGUCUCAAGUAUUGCAGCUAGUAUUCCACAGCAAAAGUGAACACUAAUUAUAGCCAAGUUAUGAUAUAUAUUGAUGACUAGGACAACAUAUAUUCCAGGAAUUGACUUUUAAAAGUCAGAAAAGUAUUGUUUUAUGUUACAUGAGAUAAUCAGCAUGUUACCGGACAGUAAAGCCAUGUUAUUUAUAUAUAUACUUUAAAUAAACAAGUGAAAAAAAUCCUCAUUCUCCAGUUAUUUCUCUUCAUCUGUAUAUCCAAAAA